rnacentral:rRNA from 1 species
GACGAACGCUGGCGGCGUGCCUAAUACAUGCAAGUUGAGCGCUGAAGGGUGGUGCUUGUACCAACUGGAUGAGCAGCGAACGGGUGAGUAACGCGUGGGGAAUCUGCCUUUGAGCGGGGGACAACAUUGGGAAACGAAUGCUAAUACCGCAUAAAAACUUUAAACACAAGUUUUAAGUUUGAAAGAUGCAAUUGCAUCACUCAAAGAUGAUCCCGCGUUGUAUUAGCUAGUUGGGGAGGUAAAGGCUCAACAAGGCGAUGAUACAUAACCGACCUGGGAGGGGGAUCGGCCCCAUUGGGACUGGGAACCGGCCCAAACUCCUACGGGAGGGAGCAGUAGGGAAUCUUCGGCAAUGGAGGGAAGGCUGACCGAGCAACGCCGGGGGAGGGAAGAAGGGUGUCGGAUCGUAAAAAUCCGUUGGUAGGGAAGAACGUUGGUGGGAGUGGAAAGCUCAUAAAGUGACGGUAACUACUCAGAAAGGGACGGCUAACUACGUG